rnacentral:rRNA from 1 species
AUGAUGACUCUCGGCAACGGAUAUCUCGGCUCUCGCAUCGAUGAAGAACGUAGCGAAAUGCGAUACGUGGUGUGAAUUGCAGAAUCCCGCGAACCAUCGAGUUUUUGAACGCAAGUUGCGCCCGAGGGACCCGCCCGAGGGCACGCCUGCCUCAUGGGCGUUAGGA